AAGAGAUCAGGGCUGGAAAACCAGGAAACCAGGACUUUCACAAGCAAAUCAUUUAGAAAACAUAGACUCACUCACGGAUGGACUGCGAUGCACGAGGGCUGAGUAGAUCUAGGCUGAGCGAGCAAGGGGAGGAGUGGGAGUGUGAGAUGGGGCGGGAGAGGAACGGGAAGGAGGGCGUGUGAACAGAAGGCUCACGAUGGGCGCCAGGAGCUCAAGGAGGCAGCUGGGAGGGGCAUGGGCGAUGGGCAGCGGGGGUGAUGAGGCCGGUUUGUGGGAGGAACCGCACUGUGAGGAGGGGAGAGGAUCCUUCCAGAAACCCUCCCAGAGAGGCUUGCCAGGUGGACAGUGGUGGGCAAAUGUUCGUGAGAAGCACGGAUGUACUGUAGCAGGGAAGAAUGGGAGCACUCCAGGACACAGCAGGAUGGCGGCCACGUGCUGGCCGCACCCGUGACUCGCACACAAGGGCAUGGUGCCAUCUGCCCAAUCCUGCCCUUGGCCUGACAUCCAAUGGGGAAUGUGGACGUGGAUGUGCCCCGGUCUUCUCAGCUCAAGGAGUCGCCACGAAUCCACUGGAACAGACGCUGUUGGCCAUCCCUGAAACAUGCGGGUGUCAUGCUCCGGCUCCUGCUGACUCAGGGCAAACCUGAUCCUAGCCAGAGGUGGAGCAUGCAGCCAGGAAGAACAUGGACACGGUAUGUUCACACACACGGCGCUCGGCCCACCACUCGCCCACGAACAUUUUUCACGCCACUCAGCCAAAGGCAAAUGCCUGCCCUACGCAAGACCAGCUCAGAAAUCCAUGACUUCCAAAGUUGGCUCUGUGAUUAUCAGUGCGUGCCAAGGAGCCUGUGUCUCCCUGAGAUCUGAAACCUUGGCAGGAAGCUGAGAUGAGAGAUUGUUGCAGGGAUGGUGAAGAACUGGUAUCCUUUGCAAGAAAAAUACUAACUGGUGGCUCCGCCGUGCUUCAUUUCUGGCAGAGCCCUGACUUGGAUGCACUCUGACUGUCGAACAAUAGCCCUAAAUGAUAGAAGGUUCUGAAGUCUCACCCGUGUGGCAGGGGCACAUUUGAUCCAGGUUCCCAUGGCUGCACGUGGCUCCAGCAUGAUCAGCCACGUUUCACCUGCACAUUCUUUCUCUGAUGGCCGGCACCCGGCUGCCUCCAAUGCUCUCCCACGUACGUUCUCCACACGGAACAGCCUCAAACCCGUGGACCGCGGCAGAUCCCAUGGAAUGCCUCUGGGUUGUAUACUCAGCAGCGUAACCUCUGGAUCAUAGCAUCAGGAGCCCCAGAUCCUUCUGGAAAGGCUGAAGCAUCCACACUCCAUCAGCCACCAUGAACUUGCCUGCAGAACCCAUCCAGGCCAACAUUUGGCUUAACCAGCUUUUUAACUGUUUGCCAGUCCAACAGCUGGACUGUUUGCCAGUCCAACAGCUGGAAAGUGGCAUUGUGUUCUAGUUCUCAUGUGUGUGAUUACUAAUGACCUUGAGCUUCUCUUUAUAUGCAUACUAGCUUUGGGGUUUUUCUUUCUGUCAUCUGUCCGUAUCCCUUGCCCAUUCUUCUGCUGCGGUUGCUCUCCUUGUCUUUUUGAUUGGCUGGAGUCCCUUGUUAAUCCCUCAUCAACUAUUAACAUUGCAAAUAUCUUUUCUCAUUUGUUCAGCUGUGCAUUAACUUUGUCCAUCUUGUCUUUCAUUUAACAAAAAUCUCUAACUCUGACAUAAUGAAAUGUGUCAAUGUGUUACCCUAUGGUUUGUGCUUUCAGAUUUUUAUUUAAGACAUUCCUGCUUAUAAGUAACAAAGAUUUUUCUCCUGUAUAUUCUUUUAACUUUUUCUUUUGCUACUAGGACUUUAAUUUAACUAGAAUCCAGCUGUGUAUAUGGUGUUAGGUAGAAUUCACGGUUUUUAAAAAAAAUGUUUUAUCACAGAUUAGUACUGCUAUGGUUUGAAUGAUUAUCCACUUCAAAACUCAUAUUGAAAUUCAGGCUGGGCGCAGUGGCUCACACCUGUAAUCCCAGCACUUUGGGAGGCUGAGGUGGGCGGAUCACCUGAGGUCAGGAGUUUGAGACCAACCUGGCCAACAUGGAGAAACCCUGUCUCUACUAAAAAUACAAAAAUGAGCCGGGCAUGGUGGCAUAUGCCUGUAGUCCCAGCUACUCGGGAGGCUGAGGCAGGAAAAUCACUUGAACCUGGAAGGCGGAGGUUGCAGUGAGCCAAGACCAUGCCACUGCACUCCAGCCUGGGCAACAGAGCAAGAUUCUGUCAAAAAAAGAAAAAAAAAAAGGGAAGGAAGGAAGAAAUUUAAUUGUCAUGGACACAGUAUUAAGACGUAGGACCAGGUUAGGCAUUGUGGCUCACACCUGUAAUCUUAGCACUUUGGGAAAACCAAGUUGGGCAGAUCACCUGAGCUCAAGAGUUUGAGACCAGCCUGGGCAACACAGUGAAACCCCAUCUUCACCAAAACAAUAAAAAAUUAGCUGGGUGUGGUAGAGCACACCUGUGGUCCCGGCUACUCCAGAAGCUGAGAUGGAAGGAUCACUUGAACCCAGGAGGCAGAGGUUGCAGUGAUCUAAGAUUGUGCCACUGCACUCCAGCCUGGGUGACAGAGAGAGACCCCAUCUUUAAAAAAAAAAAAAAAAAAAGGUCUGGGACCUUUGGAGGUGAUUAGGCAAUGAGUGCUCAUCCCUCUUGAGUGGGAUUCGUGUUUUUAUAAAAGGACAAGUUCAUCCCCUUCUUGCCCUCCUGCCUUCUGCCAUGGGACAAUGCAGCAAGAAGGCCCUCACCAGAUGUCAGCACCUUGACCUUAGACUUUCCAGCGUCCAGAACUGUGAGAAAAUACAUUUCUGUUUGUCAUAAAUUACCUAAUCUCAAGUAUUCUGUUGUAGAGCACAAAACAGAUGAAGAUUGAUACUGAGAUUUAUCAAAUGCUUUUUCUGCAUUGAUUGAGAUAAAAUAUAUUUCUUUAAUCUAUUACAAUAGUGAAUUAUAUUGAGAGAUUGUUAGAUAUUCCUGGAUGAACUCUACUUCAUCACUUAUUUUUCUUAAUAUUCUUUUAACUAAUUUUAAAAAAAAUUAACUAAUAUUUUACUUAGGAUUUUUAAAACUCCAUUUAUAAAUAAAUGGGUCUAUAUAUUUUUUAAUUCCUGUUGUCCCUAUUUGAUUUUGAAAUCCAGAUUACAUGAGCCUCACAAAAUGAGCCAGACAGUUUCCAUUCAUUUUCUAAUUUUCCAAAUAUCUUGUAUAAAAUAGAAAUUAACCAUUCCUAGAAAAUAUUAUAGAAAUCUCCGAAAACAAUUAUCCAGACUUGGAUUUUUUUGGUGCCUUUGACUGCCAUUUAACUUCUUUCACAUGCAUUCAUCUAUUCAAGUUAUCUGUCUUGUCUUUCACAAGUUUGGCAUUUUAUGCUUUUUAUAAGAAUUUGUCCGGCCAGGCACGGUAGCUCACACCUGUAAUCCCAGCACUUUGGGAGGCCAAGGUGGGCAGAUCACCUGAGGCUGGGAGUUCGAGACCAGCCUGAUCAACAUGGAGAAACCCUGUCUCUACUAAAAAUACAAAAUUAGCUGGGCAUGGUGGUGCAUGCCUGUAAUCCCAGCUACUCAGGAGGCUGAGGCAGGAGAAUCACUUGAACCCGGAAGGCGGAGGUUGCGGUGAGCAGAGAUUGUGCCAUUUUGCACUCCAGCCUGGGUAACAGGAGUGAAACUCUGCCUCAAAAAAAAAAAAAAAAAGGAAUUCAUCCAUGUCAUCUAAGUAUCAAAUUUGUUAAAUAUGCCUAUGCAUAAUACCAAUUAAUUAUCUUAUUUAUUCCCCCUCUUGCCCUCCUGCCUUCUGCCAUGGGAUAAUGCAGCAAGAAGGCCCUCACCAGAUCCCAUUUUUAUUGGUCUUUCCAGAAGUCUGUCUAGCAUAUUAAAUUUUUUAAACCAGAUUUUGAUUUUGUUCAUCCUCUGUAGGUUUUAUUCAUUCUAUCUGUUUCUACUCUUAUAUUUUUCAGCUCCUUUCUUAUGUUUUCUGGGAGUGGAGUUGGAUAGGUGUUGCUCUCUUGCUCUUUUUCCAGCUGCUUGUGCUAAAUAGCUGGCUCAUUUGUUUUUCCCAUUUGUUGUUUCCUGAUGAACGCAUUAUAAUCUUUCAAUAUCCCUUUAAGAGCUACCUUGGCUUUGCCCGAAGGCAUGUCACUGAUUUGGGCAGGUCACAUUGCGUAUACAUAGAGGAAGUGCUCACAUAAGUAGAGUACUCACUCUAUGCACUUCUUUUUUUUUUUUUUUUUUUUUUUUUGAGACGGAGUCUGGCUCUGUUGCCCAAGCUGGAAUGCAGUGGCGCGAUCUCGGCUCACUGCAACCUCCACCUCCUGGGUUCACGCCAUUCUCCUGCCUCAGUCUCCUGAGUAGCUGGGACUACAGGUGCCCACCACCACGCCCAGUUAAUUUUUUUGUAUUUUUAGUAGAGACGGGGUUUCACCGUGUUACACUCUAUGUACUUCCUAAUUUCCUUGAUCAUUUCCAAGGGCUAUCCAUAAAUAUAUUAAUUACUUUCCAAAAUAUUGGAGUUGUUAAAAAAAAUUGUUUUGUUAAUUUUAAUGUCAUUGAUUUGUGAUUAGAGAAUGCAGUUUAUUUUGUAUUAAUUAUUAGAACUUUAUUGAGACUUCCUUCAUGGCUCAGUGUCUGGCCUAUUUUGGUAAAUGGUGUGUGCGUGCAUGGGGGAAAGGCAUAGCCUCUGUCUGAUGAAUGGUAAGUUCUCUACAUAUCUCAUAUCUUCAGCUUACUCAUUGUAUUGAUCAAGACUUCAGUAUCUGUUUUCUCUGUUCGAUCAUUAAAAGCUCCAACUACAA
rnacentral:lncRNA from 1 species